AUGCAUGUGGCCACUUGAGUUUCCCAAACUUCUCCAGUGUCAGAUCAGGAGCUGAAGUUUCAUGUAAAGAAAUCUGAUUCUCUGCCUAGAUGUUCCGAGGCUGAUGAUGAUAAGUGGCUGGCGCACGUUCCUUCCGAAGAUGAAUCAAGACAGACAUAGUCAAGCAACACACUGUUUUAUCAGUCAGGUGCAGCUCCACCUGCUGAUAGGAAGGCCUGUAGCUUGGAAAUCCUCAACCAG